UACGUAGGGGGCAAGCGUUGUCCGGAAUCAUUGGGCGUAAAGCGCGUGUAGGCGGUUCGAUAAGUCUGCUGUGAAAGUCCAGGGCCUCAACCCUGGAAAGCCGGUGGAUACUGCCGGGCUAGAGGACGGUAGAGGCGAGUGGAAUUCCCGGUGUAGCGGUGAAAUGCGCAGAUAUCGGGAGGAACACCAGUAGCGAAGGCGGCUCGCUGGGCCGUUCCUGACGCUGAGACGCGAAAGCUAGGGAGCGAACAGG
rnacentral:rRNA from 1 species